rnacentral:rRNA from 1 species
AUCCUACGGGAGGCAGCAGUGGGGAAUAUUGGGCAAUGGGCGCAAGCCUGACCCAGCGACGCCGCGUGAGGGAAGACGGUCUUCGGAUUGUAAACCUCUUUCAGCAGGGAAGACAAAAGGACGGUACCUGCAGAAGAAGCCACGGCUAACUACGUGCCAGCAGCCGCGGUAAUACGUAGGUGGCAAGCGUUAUCCGGAAUUACUGGGUGUAAAGGGUGUGUAGGCGGGGUGGCAAGUCAGAAGUGAAAAUUAUGGGCUCAACCCAUAACCUGCGGUUGAAAGUAAA